CUCAUGCCGUUUGGGGUUUUUCUUUUCACUUUGGUUUUGCCGGAAAAUCCUUGUGUCGCGAUCGCGUACGUUGCCUUGGCUGUAGCUAUAGAUAUAGCUAUCCAGCAGAUAAGCAAAUAUUUUAAGCUAAAAUAUAUACAUAUGUGAGCUAAAUAAAUACGCAAAUACAGAUAGUAUGCAUGUGUGAGUAAUCAGUGCGAACGUGAAAUUGCGCUGACGUUGCAAGUUCGCAGUGCAGUUGUAAUUGUAACAUCGAUGUGGAGUGUCAAUUAUGUGGAAAUAUAUUUACAAAGAUACCCCCUGUGCGUGUGUGUGAGUGUGCAAGUUCCUCCUGGCACUGAAUGUCACUAAAAGAGAGUGAGAGGGAGGAAGCGAGAGUGUGGGAGUGCGCCAGCUCUCUUUCCAGUGCGUGUAGAUCAGUUACCGCCAGCAACAACAACAACAACAGCAACAACAAACAAACAAACAAACAAGCGACAAUUCACAUUCAUUUCCAUUCAUUGCUGCGAUUAUCGCCAGUUUUGCUUUGCUCUUUCACCACGCACGAAUACGAAUCGGUGGGCGAAAGAGAGUGAGAGUGGAGAGUGGAAAGCAGAAAGCAGAGAGUGUCGCGUGUGAACCGUAAGAAAAUGCGAAAGGGGAGCGACGGAGUGUGGAGCGAAUGAAGUGGAAGCAGCAGCAAUCAAAAAGUUCGCUCUGGGCACGCCCCCUUAUGACGCCCCCUGUGACGCGUUAUCAGCGGACACCCAACAAACACAAAGACCUAACCAAAAUCCACACAAAAUGGCGAUAAACUCGAGUACCAGAGAAUCGCUGCGGGCAUAAAAAAGUUCGCGUCGAACAAAAAAAAGGGAAGUAAACAAACUUGUUUGUGCCCCACAACAACUUCAAUUCCCAAGCCCCCCUCAAAAUCCUAAGAUCCCCGCAGAACCCACCAGAAUAUCAGCGAUAAACAUCCGAAAGUUUGGGUGGCCAAGUCCACAGAAAACCCCGCACCAAACCCGAAUCAAGCGCCUAAGAUGUGUUCCCGCAACAUAAAGAUCUCGGUGGUGCUGUUUCUCGUCUUGAUACCAAUCUUCGCCGCCUUGCCACACAACCACAAUCUGUCGAAGCGCAGCAAUUUCUUCGAUCUGGAGUGCAAGGGCAUCUUCAACAAGACCAUGUUCUUCCGACUGGACCGCAUCUGCGAGGACUGCUAUCAGUUGUUCCGCGAGACGAGUAUACACCGAUUAUGCAAGAAAGACUGCUUUGAUUCAAAAUGGUUUGGCGAAUGCCUGAAAGUGCUGUUAAUACCCGAAGAGGAAAUAUCGAACUUACAGCACUUUCUGAGAGUAGUGAAUGGCUCGCCCAUAUCCUUCAACAUGGGCCCGCAAACAUAACUCUAAUUCCCCUCCCCCUCACACACACAACCACACACACAACCACACACACACACACACACACAGUUGAAAAUAUGCUGCGAAUGAAUGUGGAAUGGAGAAUGGGAAUUUAACUAAUCCAACCACAAAUGCAGAGCCAGAACAAAGAAAUCUAAAAUAUUAAAACGCCCAAAUUUAAUUCGUACUUAUUUAUUACUGUAUGCCUUACAGUUUUUACUAUAUAUGUGUUUUUUUAAAAACGAAUUAUUUUUAUUAAUUUAUUGAGAACGUUAUGCGUUUGUUGUAAGUAACAUAAUCGAUGGGCGAGUGAGAGAUAGCGAUUGAUGAUGAUGAUGAUGCGGAUUUUGCAGAUCUCGUAACUCCCCCAUAUAGAAGCCGAAGUAUUUAUUUUUAAGUAUUCUUAGCUUGUUUUAUUAUUAUUGCGUUAUGCGUUGUGUAUAUAAAAUAAACAAAACGAGAUCCAUUGUAUUUAAUCCGUGUAAUGUAAAAUUAUUACUUUUAUUUUUGUAUUCUAUUGUAAAAGCAGCAUUUAAAAUUAACGUUUUACACGAUUUUCCCGCAAGGGCAAAAAUAUAUAGAGCUACUUCAUUGUAAACACACACACAACAAACACACACACACACACACACACACACCGCACACGAGACCGAAAGUAUUUUGCAAAUGUAUUACACUUAAAAUUUUGUGCUAUUUUGUAAAGAUAAAACCCCUAUUAGCGUAAAUUUGUUGGCGAAAAGAGGAAAUAUAACAUAUACCUAUCUAAAGCUAAACCUAACAUUUACCCGCAUACUACGACUACAGUAAACGCCCGUACUAAAUGUUAAACAAAAAAAAAACGCAAGAACGCAAUUUGUGCAAGACACAAACAAAAACCCCUGGUAAAAACACGCGAAAAAGGACUGCAUUACAAAUGUGGCAAUAACGAUUAUAAGCCCCCAUGUAAAAUAAUAAAAGAUAAUCAUUCGCUGGCUAUUUGAGAGCAUCAAAAUUGUGAUAAAUGAGAAUUAGAAUGCGAAUGCGCGACGCAGAGCCGCCAAACACCCAGACACCCCAGAAAGAGAUCGCUAUAGAGGCGGCGAAAGAGACAGACAGCCGCCAGAGAAAGAGACCGCCAUAGAGGAGGUGAAAGAGACAGACAUACAGCAGCCGGCGAUUUGCGCGCGUUUUUGGCGCGACUAAAAGCGUCUGCUUACCGUUUUUGUUUUGGCAAGAAUGCUUUGGAUCGCCCUUCUUCAACGCCUGCAUAGAGGCUCUUCAACUACACGAGGAAAUGGACAAAUACAACGAAUGGCGCGAUACCCUGGGACGAAAGUAAACUGCUAUUUUCUGGGCUCUGGCAACCGUCACUGGCACGAGCAGCUACUUAAUUCUAUAAACUAUAAACUAAAAUAAACUAAAGUACACUAUGUAUUAAUGAUAACUGUGGCAGAACACGGCACGGAACAAUGGCAACCAGGAAACGAUCGACCCGAGGAAUGUGUACCACUUAAAGAAAUAACUAAACUAACGACUAAGCUACAAGAGAAAGCAGAUCAAAAAUGUUGAAAAAAAAAUAAUGAUGAAAACAAUUACUAAGCUAUUACACGUUACUUAUCCGCACCGCAUAUCGGAAAGUGAAAAUUGGUUUUUAUUUAUUUUGUAUUAUUCUCUGUCAUGCACAUCGAUCCGUUAAACAGUCUCGUGGAGCUCUUAGUUUUAGUAACUACGAGAAUUAUGCUAAUUUCUUUCAGUUCUUGGCACAAGAGCAAAUUGAAAAAAGAGAAAGCCAACAAACAAUAAGAGAACAAACGAACGAACGAACAAGAAUCAAAAUGUCUGAUGUAAAUAAAUUAUUUUUGUCUUCUUUUAAAGAUUUCUAUACAUACAUAUUUAUAACGCCUAACUAUUUUGUACAUUUCUUUUAUUUCGUAAGCUUAAGUUAACUUGUUACGGCAAUAAAUUUUACGUUCCACACCUCCCCACAUUUGCAUCCCCGGCAAUAGAACGGAAAAAAACAUCCGAGAAACCCCACAAGGCAUAAUUCGACUCGAUUCUAUGUGUACUAUUGCAUAUGCCCUACGAUUACAUAACUAUUAAUUAAUUUAAACUUGUUUGGAUCUAGUCGUAAAGUAUAAAUAAAGAUUGUAUAUUUCAAGAGGA